GCCUGGGGAGUACGGCCGCAAGGUUAAAACUCAAAUGAAUUGACGGGGGCCCGCACAAGCGGUGGAGCAUGUGGUUUAAUUCGAUGCAACGCGAAGAACCUUACCUACUCUUGACAUCCAUAGAAGAAAGCAGAGAUGCUUUUGUGCCUUCGGGAACUAUGAGACAGGUGCUGCAUGGCUGUCGUCAGCUCGUGUUGUGAAAUGUUGGGUUAAGUCCCGCAACGAGCGCAACCCUUAUCCUUUGUUGCUAGCAGGUAAUGCUGAGAACUCAAAGGAGACUGCCAGUGAUAAACUGGAGGAAGGUGGGGACGACGUCAAGUCAUCAUGGCCCUUACGAGUAGGGCUACACACGUGCUACAAUGGCGUAUACAGAGGGCUGCGAGCUAGCGAUAGUGAGCGAAUCUCAGAAAGUACGUCUAAGUCCGGAUUGGAGUCUGCAACUCGACUCCAUGAAGUCGGAAUCGCUAGUAAUCGCGAAUCAGAAUGUCGCGGUGAAUACGUUCCC
rnacentral:rRNA from 1 species